rnacentral:piRNA from 1 species
UUUGAUUGAAUUUUGAUGGAG